UAGCAUAUCAAUAAGCGGAGGAAWAGAAACUAACAAGGAUUCCCCUAGUAACUGCGAGUGAAGCGGGAAAAGCUCAAAUUUGAAAUCUGGCAGUCUUUUUUUUCUUCUUUGGCUGUCCGAGUUGUAAUCUAGAGAAGUGCUUACCUGCGCUGGACCAUGUAUAAGUCUCCUGGAAUGGAGCCUCACAGAGGGUGAGAAUCCCGUCUUUGACAUGGACUGCCAGUGCGUUGUGGUGCGCUCUCAAAGAGUCGAGUUGUUUGGGAAUGCAGCUCUAAAUGGGUGGUAAACUCCAUCUAAAGCUAAAUAUUGGCGAGAGACCGAUAGCGAACAAGUACCGUGAGGGAAAGAUGAAAAGGACUUUGGAAAGAGAGUUAAACAGUAUGUGAAAUUGUUGAAAGGGAAACRCUUGAAGUCAGUUAUGUCGGCUAGGGAUCAACCUAGCCAUUUUUUGGCUGGGUGAAUUUCCUGGUCUGACAGGCCAACAUCAGUCUUGACUGCCGGAAAAGAGCGGAGGGAAUGUGGCACCUUCGGGUGUGUUAUAGCCCUCUGUCAUAUGUGGCAGUCGGGACUGAGGGAUGCAGCGUGCCGCGAGGCUGGGUUUCGACCACGUUCACGCUUAGGAUGUUGGCUUUUAAUGGCUCCAAUCGACCCGUCUUGAAACACGGACCAAGGAGUCUAACAUGCCUGCGAGUGUUUGGGUGGAAAACCCUUGUGCGCAAUGAAAGUGAAAGUUGAGAUCCCUGUCAUGGGGAGCAUCGACGCCCGGACUUGAGCUUUUAGCGAUGGAUCCGCGGUAGAGCAUGCAUGUUGGGACCCGAAAGAUGGUGAACUAUGCCUGAAUAGGGCAAAGCCAGAGGAAACUCUGGUGGAGGCUCGUAGCGAUUCUGACGUGCAAAUCGAUCGUCAAAUUUGGGUAUAGGGGCGAAAGACUAAUCGAACCAUCUAGUAGCUGGUUCCUGCC
rnacentral:rRNA from 1 species